rnacentral:lncRNA from 1 species
UCAUGGCCGUGGGCUUUAAAGUGUUGUUUUCCAUGCCGGUUUGGGUGCCACUAGCACGGAGGAAUUAUGGUAAAGACCUUUGUAUUUUUAUUAUAUGCAUGUUAACAAGGCUGAAUUACAACAGCCAGCAAUUCUACAGUUGAAGCUAUCUGUGCUAUUUGAUUUAGAUAUUUCCAUGCAGAUGCGUAUUUGGAUUUGUAGAGGAAAAUAAAAUUGUAAAUACAUAUUGCUUUGCCUGCAUCAAUUUGUGUGCAAUGACAACCCUUUCUUCAGAAGAAAAAGUGAAUACAUAGGUGAUGGCCUUUUAGGUUGUUAAUAAUUUCUUCAAGGCUUUUGACAGUUGUUGACAAAUUACGUGUGUUUUUUCCUUUCUAUAUUAACAAUUUCCCAUGUGUGUGCCUUCCGUCUGAAUCAUACCACGAUAUACCUUGCCAUUAAGUUUCUUUACUGAGAACUACUUAUAUUUCAUACUAUUCAUCAUAUGAGCUGGAUGGGCUAUUGAGUGCAGCGACGAGAUUAUACUGAUAGAUGGCCAUGGUGGGUGGAAGAAGAACAAGGAGGGUGAUAUAAUGGUAAAGAAAGAACUUGACCAUCUUUUCGUACAUGUUUGGUAUAAUUGCUUAUGCCCCCGUUGCAACGCAUGAACAAUUACCUAGAUCCGAACUUGUUGGUUUGGUAUGCGCUUUUGAUUCAUUUUCCCCACGGAAUCAGGAUGUUGUCAUGGUAGUUUGAUUGCAUACAGUGCUUCCCAUUAGAACCUGCGAUUUAUGGUGAUGCCAUGUAGCUGAGGUCUUAUUUGAUGUCCCUUCUGUUUUGUAUAGAUUGAUGGAAGACCUUUGUACAUAACUGAAGAGUAGGAGGAAGAGAAACAUAAGAACAGUUCAGCAAGUCCUCUGAUGGAGGCAAAAUUACUUUUCUGGUCCAUUUUUGUCAUAUGAUUGCUGUAACAUGAAUUGUACAUCCUUUCCAAGAAAAAUAGCAAAUUGUACAUAUGUAAAUGGUCGAGUGAAAUUGUGAAUUGAUUUUUCAAGGAAUAAAAUGUGGGCUUUUCUAUACUUAUGCAUGAUUACAUCAUAUUUGUUUUGAUCAUGUUAUGCAUGGAAAGUUGAUGACCCCAACUAUAGGUAAGAUCUUAUACGG